rnacentral:lncRNA from 1 species
UUUUUUGGGUCGACUCAACGUUGGGUCGACCCUAUUCUGGGUUGGGUCGACCCAAGUUCAGAAAUUUUUCCUUUCUCUUCCUUUUCGCUUCUAAAAAUUUUUCUUGCUUCCAAUCCUUACAAAUUCUUUCUGGGACAAUGAUACCUGAGUAAGAAAUCUAUAGAUUACAAGUUUGACUCAUGUUUCAUGGGUUUUUAGAAAUGGGAGGAAUGUAUCAUGAGACUGCUUGCUCCC